rnacentral:rRNA from 1 species
CAUAUCAAUAAGCGGAGGAAAAGAAAYCAUCAGGGAUUGCCUCAGUAACGGCGAGUGAAGCGGCAACAGCUCAAAUUUGAAAUCUGGCCUCUUUGGGGUCCGAGUUGUAAUUUGUAGAGGAUGUUUCGGGUACCGCCUCGGUCUAAAUUUCUUGGAACAGAAUGUCAGAGAGGGUGAGAAUCCCGUCUUGGACCGGCGGUAGGGCCCAUGUGAAACUCCUUCGACGAGUCGAGUUGUUUGGGAAUGCAGCUCAAAAUGGGUGGUAUAUUUCAUCUAAAGCUAAAUAUUGGCCAGAGACCGAUAGCGCACAAGUAGAGUGAUCGAAAGAUGAAAAGAACUUUGAAAAGAGAGUUAAACAGUAUGUGAAAUUGUUGAAAGGGAAGCGCUUGCAACCAGACUUGAGCGCGGCGGUUCCCCCUUCCUUUUGGUUGGGUUACUCCGUCGUGUCCAGGCCAACAUCGGUUCUGGGGGUCGGUUAAAGGCUUGGGGAAUGUACCUACGUCUUCGGGCGUAGACUUAUAGCCCCGAGUGUCAUGCGACCUCCCGGGACCGAGGAACGCGCUUCGGCUCGGAUGUUGGCGUAAUGGUUGUAAGCGGCCCGUCUUGAAACACGGACCAAGGAGUCUAACAUCUAUGCGAGUGUUUGGGUGUCAAACCCGGAACGCGGAAUGAAAGUGAACGGAGGUAGGAAGCUUCGGCUGCACUAUCGACCGAUCCUGAUGUCUUCGGAUGGAUUUGAGUAAGAGCAUAGCUGUUGGGACCCGAAAGAUGGUGAACUAUGCCUGAAUAGGGUGAAGCCAGAGGAAA